GCAAUGCGCUCUAUCAUGCAGUCGAGCGGAAGAUGGGAGCUUGCUCCCUGAUGUUAGCGGCGGACGGGUGAGUAACACGUGGGUAACCUGCCUGUAAGACUGGGAUAACUCCGGGAAACCGGGGCUAAUACCGGAUGCUUGUUUGAACCGCAUGGUUCAAACAUAAAAGGUGGCUUCGGCUACCACUUACAGAUGGACCCGCGGCGCAUUAGCUAGUUGGUGAGGUAAUGGCUCACCAAGGCCACGAUGCGUAGCCGACCUGAGAGGGUGAUCGGCCACACUGGGACUGAGACACGGCCCAGACUCCUACGGGAGGCAGCAGUAGGGAAUCUUCCGCAAUGGACGAAAGUCUGACGGAGCAACGCCGCGUGAGUGAUGAAGGUUUUCGGAUCGUAAAGCUCUGUUGUUAGGGAAGAACAAGUACCGUUCGAAUAGGGCGGUACCUUGACGGUACCUAACCAGAAAGCCACGGCUAACUACGUGCCAGCAGCCGCAGUAAUACGUAGGUGGCAAGCGUUGUCCGGAAUUAUUGGGCGUAAAGGGCUCGCAGGCGGUUCCUUAAGUCUGAUGUGAAAGCCCCCGGCUCCACCGGGGAGGGUCAUUGGAAACUGGUGAACUUGAGUGCAGAAGAGGAGAGUGGAAUUCCACGUGUAGCGGUGAAAUGCGUAGAGAUGUGGAGGAACACCAGUGGCUGAGGCGACUCUCUGGUCUGUAACUGACGCUGAAGAGCGAAAGCGUGUGCAGCGAACAGGAUUAGAUACCCUGGUAGUCCACUCCGUAAACGAUGAGUGCUAAGUGUUAGGGGGUUUCCGCCCCUUUAGUGCUGCAGCUGACGCAUUAAGCACUCCCCCUGGGGAGUACGGUCACAAGACUGAACUCAAAGGAUAUGACGGGGGUCCGCAUAAGCGGUGGGAGCAUGUGGUUUAAUUCUCAUCAACGCGAAAAAACCUUACCAGGUCUUGGAGAUU
rnacentral:rRNA from 1 species